rnacentral:lncRNA from 1 species
CGGCGCACGGGCCCCGGCUGCGUGCAGCGCGGUUCCGCCGGCGCCGGCUCGGAGCGGGGCCCCGGGGCCUCACAAGGCAUCAGCACGAGCUUUGUGCUGCUUGCGUAGAGUGCAACGCAGGGCUGGAUCCUGCAGGCAUGAAUGCUGCACUGGCUGUCCGGAGGGACAGGACCUGAGCAGCGGACUUCAACUUAUGAACGGAUUUCUGCGGUUGAGGUCGAAACAACAACUGUCUCUGGCAGCUGAGCGAGAAUGGAUUCUGAAACAGAGUAAAAUGCAAGCAGAACUUAACUGGCAGCAGCUCUGUGAGAAUGCUGAAUGUAAUUGGUAUCAGAAAUCAGAGGAUCCAACUCACAGCCUAUCUUCAUCUAGUGAGGAGGUUCAAGCUGAUCUACAGAAAACACACUACAGGUUGCAUGAAGUGAAGUGUGUUCUUUCUGCUUUGACUGUUAAGAGAGAACAGACAAUACAAGCAUCGUUUAAUCACAGUAUUUCACCUGAAGGGGAUAAACAGGUUAGACAACACUUACUGUAGAUAUGGACUAAUUCAUUCUAAGAAACAAUAUUAUGGGCCUUGUUUCCACUGAACUUACUGUAGGCAGUUCAUCUGUUUCAUAUGUUUCAUUCAAAACACAGGCAUAUCUAUCCUGGAAUACACAUAGAUUAGGUGUCAUGGGCUUAAUUAUGGCUCUCAUUCAUUACUCACUAGGACAAGGAGCAAGCUGGAUAUAGACAGUUGCUCCAAAAUGUGACGAUGUACUGUACCUCCAUGGCAAUCAAAUUGGAAGAAUUUUGGAACCUAAUUCCUGAGGUUCUGUGCAGUUCAGGGUAGAUUUUAAAGUUGAAAAGUUAAGAUUUUAAGGCAAUGUUUCAAAAUACUAAUAUGCCGGCUGUUUAAAUUAUUUUAACGUCUUCUAUUUGAGUAUCAAAUUUUCCUUUCAUUGCUACCUCUUAAAUUGCUUAUAUUUUAAAAAGACAUUCAAAGUUGCAAAUGUAAUGCUGGUUUGAAGUCAUGCUGAAGGAUAAUGCUUUAAGAGUAGAAAACUGCCUUUGGUAAAAGAGCGAAAGCAAAGUGUAUGCUGCAGUGCACUCUACUGCGUGGCUAGAGGCUCAACAGUGACCAGUUCAGAGCAUGUUACCAGAGCUUGCUAAGAAAAAGCAGUGCUAAGCAAGCCCAGUAGUUCCUGAAUGCAGAAAAUAUUGUAUUCGGAAAGAUACUUCCUGAAGACAAUUUUUAUUAUACAUAAAAGUAGACUGCUAGCAAAAACUUGCUAUGGAGCAAGUAGUUUUUCCAAUUUUAUUUCAAACUGGACUGAUUUGCUAAUUGAUCAAUGAGAUGCCAAGAGAAUCAGGGCCGGGCACAGUUUCUUCUUUAUAUUCUUAUAUUCUUCUUUGUACUCACUGUUCUCUUGUGGAUGGCAAGACUGUCUUCCUUGUCACUCUUUUCUUUUUGGUGUUAAAAAACUCUGGCUUUUGAACUUUUGGCAUAUAGGAUUAGCAGUACCAAUCUCAACAAAACCUUUUUGGUCUUUUUC